AACGAACGCUGGCGGCAGGCCUAAAACAUGCAAGUCGAACGCUGUAGCAAUCCAGAGUGGCGCACGGGUGAGUAACACGUGGGAAUGUGCCUUUUGGUACGGAACAACUUUUGGAAACGAAAGCUAAUACCGUAUGGUCCCUUCGGGGUAAAGAUUUAUCGCCAAAAGAGCAGCCCGCGUCUGAUUAGCUAGUUGGUGAGGUAAUGGCUCACCAAGGCGACGAUCAGUAGCUGGUCUGAGAGGACGAUCAGCCACACUGGGACUGAGAAACGGCCCAGACUCCUACGGGAGGCAGCAGUUAGGAAUAUUGGACAAUGGGCGCAAGCCUGAUCCAGCCAUGCCGCGUGAGUGAUGAAGGCCUUCGGGUUGUAAAGCUCUUUAGCCGAUGAAUAUAAUGACUGUAGUCGGAAAAUAAGCCCCGGCUAACUUCGUGCCAGCAGCCGCCGUAA
rnacentral:rRNA from 1 species